rnacentral:rRNA from 1 species
AGUUUGAUCCUGGCUCAGAUUGAACGCUGGCGGCAUGCCUUACACAUGCAAGUCGAACGGCAGCACGGGAGCUUGCUCCUGGUGGCGAGUGGCGAACGGGUGAGUAAUACAUCGGAACGUACCCUGAAGUGGGGGAUAACGUAGCGAAAGUUACGCUAAUACCGCAUAUUCUGUGCGCAGGAAAGCAGGGGGAUCGCAAGACCUUGCGCUGAUUGAGCGGCCGAUAUCAGAUUAGCUAGUUGGUGGGGUAAAGGCCUACCAAGGCGACGAUCUGUAGCGGGUCUGAGAGGAUGAUCCGCCACACUGGAACUGAGACACGGUCCAGACUCCUACGGGAGGCAGCAGUGGGGAAUUUUGGACAAUGGGGGCAACCCUGAUCCAGCCAUGCCGCGUGAGUGAAGAAGGCCUUCGGGUUGUAAAGCUCUUUCGGCCGGGAAGAAAUCGUAUGGGUUAAUACCCUGUGCGGAUGACGGUACCGGCAUAAGAAGCACCGGCUAACUACGUG